GCAGGUAGAGGCACGAAAGCGCCUUCUAAUCCGAUGGCCGCAGGUUCGAAUCCUGCCGGGUGUACCA
rnacentral:tRNA from 1 species